UCUUGCACUAGAAGAUACAUCAAGACUUCCUUCAAGAGCGGCUUGCUGGGAAAUCAGUGAAUUUGGGAUUUCAGGAAAACACUGAAGAAGAAGGAAUCUGUGUGAAAUGAUGCUUCGAACAGGAUAGGAAGGGCCUUGGCCUCAGACUCAGAUAAUCAGCCCUCUGAUUGGCAAAGGAAGGAGAAUCCGGAGAAGACCCAGUCAUCUGGAAAAUAACUGCAUUGUAUGCGCCAUACCUCAAAACUGAGGCAGUAUAUUGCAAGGAUAAAUCACAUCACAGACUUCUGCAUGAGGAAAUUCAGACAUCAUCUUUGCCCAGUCUCCUCUACUAUGGCAUGAGAGACCUGGGACAAGACAAGCAUCUGAAUCUCAGGUAUAUCCUAAGGUACUAGGAGGGAACUCAGGAGGCAAA
rnacentral:sRNA from 1 species